rnacentral:rRNA from 1 species
ACUAGCAGCUAUAUCACCCUGUAACUCACAAGUUGUAACUUACUGAAGCUCAACGGGCGUGAGCCUGGCCAGUACCUGGAUGGGAGACCUCCUGGGAAAGCUAAGGUUGCUGCUGGAA